AUUGAACGCUGGCGGCAGGCCUAACACAUGCAAGUCGAACGGUAACAGGAAGCAGCUUGCUGCUUCGCUGACGAGUGGCGGACGGGUGAGUAAUGUCUGGGAAACUGCCUGAUGGAGGGGGAUAACUACUGGAAACGGUAGCUAAUACCGCAUAACGUCGCAAGACCAAAGAGGGGGACCUUAGGGCCUCUUGCCAUCGGAUGUGCCCAGAUGGGAUUAGCUAGUAGGUGGGGUAACGGCUCACCUAGGCGACGAUCCCUAGCUGGUCUGAGAGGAUGACCCGCCCCCCGGGACGUGAGCCCCGGUCCGACCCCCUAGGGGGGGCCGCGGUGGGAAAUUUUGCCCAAUGGGCGAAACCCGGAUGCAGCCAUGCCGGGGGUAUGAAGAAGGCCUUCGGGUUGUAAAGUCCUUUCCGGGGGGAGGAAGGGAGUAAAGUUAAUACCUUGCCUCAUUGCCGUUCCCCGCAGAAGAAGCCCCGGCUACCUCCGU
rnacentral:rRNA from 1 species